GAUGAACGCUGGCGGCGUGCCUAAUACAUGCAAGUCGAGCGGCAGCACGGUCUUCGGACUGGUGGCGAGCGGCGGACGGCUGAGUAGCGCGUAGGAAUAUACCCAAAGUGAGGGAUAACUGCCCGAAAGGGUGGCUAAUACCGCAUGUGGUCUUCGGACUAAAGCCUUCGGGCGCUUUGGGAAUAGCCUGCGUAAGAUUAGCUAGUUGGUGAGGUAAUGGCUCACCAAGGCGACGAUCUUUAGCUGGUCUGAGAGGAUGACCAGCCAGACUGGAACUGAGACACGGUCCAGACUCCUACGGGAGGCAGCAGUAGGGAAUUUUCCACAAUGGGCGAAAGCCUGAUGGAGCAACGCCGCGUGCAGGAUGAAGGCCCUCGGGUCGUAAACUGCUUUUAUGUGCGAAGAAUAUGACGGUAACACAUGAAUAAGGGUCGGCUAACUACGUGCCAGCAGCCGCGGUAAU
rnacentral:rRNA from 1 species